UUAUUUUAAAAGUAUUUUUAAACGUUUAAACUGUAUUUUAGUGAAAAAUUACAAAAACAAUUACAAAAGAACCCGUCCAGGGGACUUGCAUAUAUUUUCCUUUUUCUGCCUGGAUUACUGUGAGGCAUCAGGACACAACAAAAAAGACCUGCAGACGACCUGCUGUGGAGAUCCCUAAAGAACAAGUUGUGUCGUCACAUCAACGGGCAACAAGCUUUAAGACGGUUACGCAACAAC